rnacentral:rRNA from 1 species
AAAGCGUGGGGAGCGAACAGGAUUAGAUACCCUGGUAGUCCACGCCGUAAACGGUGGGCACUAGUUGUGGGGACCUUCCACGGUCUCUGCGACGCAGCUAACGCAUUAAGUGCCCCGCCUGGGGAGUACGAUCGCAAGAUUAAAACUCAAAGGAAUUGACGGGGCCCCGCACAAGCAGCGGAGCAUGCGGCUUAAUUCGACGCAACGCGAAGAACCUUACCAAGGCUUGACAUAUACAGGAAUAUGGCAGAGAUGUCAUAGCCGCAAGGUCUGUAUACAGGUGGUGCAUGGUUGUCGUCAGCUCGUGUCGUGAGAUGUUGGGUUAAGUCCCGCAACGAGCGCAACCCUCAUUCUGUGUUGCCAGCAUUAAGUUGGGGACUCACAGGAGACUGCCGGGGUUAACUCGGAGGAAGGUGGGGAUGACGUCAAAUCAUCAUGCCCCUUAUGUCUUGGGCUGCACGCAUGCUACAAUGGCUGGUACAAACGGCUGCGAUACCGCAAGGUGGAGCGAAUCCGAUAAAGCCAGUCUCAGUUCGGAUUGGGGUCUGCAACUCGACCCCAUGAAGUCGGAGUUGCUAGUAAUCGUAGAUCAGCAACGCUACGGUGAAUACGUUCCCGGGGCUUGUACACACCGCCCGUCUCGUCACGAAAGUCGGUAACACCCGAA